AAACUCAGGUUCGGCCGCCGAACCUCAAGUUCGGCCGCCGAACAUGCAUGCCUUCGGGAGCGCCUUUAGGCCCCCGAAAGCAUAAGUGAGGAAAGUCCAGGUUCGGCCGCCGAACCUCAAGUUCGGCCGCCGAACAUGACAUGCAUGCGGAGGCACGUUCGGCCCCCAAACGUGGCCUACCCAGCCACUAUAAAAGGGUCCCUUAGCCGAAAAUGGGCGAGCUUUUUCCCCAUUUCCGGCCAAGGUGAGUUCUCCGCCACCCCUUACCGAUCUUGAGUCUUUUCC
rnacentral:lncRNA from 1 species